rnacentral:lncRNA from 1 species
ACAACUUUUAUCCAUCAACCACAUUUUCUUUCAUUCUACUUCAAUCUCUUUUUUUUAACUAUGUUUUUUCACAUUCACAAGAGAAAUACCGAUUAAAUUUUUUCCGCCGUUACACCUUCGAUAAAGAUUCGACUUUGGAAUAUAUAGUCGUUCGAAAGUCUUAAUCGGAUGUUGGACCGUUGGUUAGAAGGGGAAAUUGCGGAUGGUGAAAGGAUUAGAAGGAUUCAAUGGCUUGAGUCCACGUUAAACCAAAAUGGAGAAGUGCGUGAAUGAGUGGAUAUUAAGACCGACAGAGACGUUGGCAAGAUGGUGCAUAAUAUGUUCAAAAUUGUUCUGAUGAUUGUAAUCAAUUAGUUAUAGUAAUGGUAUUUUAAUUAUUGUAGUUGUUUGCGUUGUUGUUUAUGUGUUACUUGUGUGUUGAAUGUGUUGUAUUUUUUUUUGAUGGUAUUUCCUCACACAAUUAUCAUAUGUAAACAAUUUUUUUAUAUAUUGCAAAAGAGGUACAUGACAAAUUAUCUUGUUGAACUCGUUCCAACACUAGGACAGUUAGUACCAUUGUGAC